AUGGGACCCCCACCACCACCAGGCACUUUUUUCACUUUCCACCACCGAGAACCCGAUGCCUUCCUUUCCCACUCGAUCAGAUUGAUCAGUAAAAUUGCAGAUGUGAACGCUCGUGAUAGAUUUUCUUGGAAUCUUAGGGUUCGAAUAAAUUGCAGAUGGAAUAAUCCCGAUUCCCGGGGAAAUCCGACACCCGGGCCGUGUGCGCGCAAAGCGAAAGUAGGAGCCCAGAAGCGCGGCAGGGAAGCGGGCGAGGUCAGCCCGGUGCCCGCGGUCGCCGAGCGCGCAGCCCGGGGACAGCCGCCAGCCGGGCCGCCGACCCAGGCCAGACGCCCGGGCGGCCGCGCUCAGUUCCCAGGGCUCCCAAGAAAGGCCCGGCCUCCCCUCCCGUCUCCUGCCAGGAGCGGAGUUCGGGUGGGAGGAAUGCCCGAGCAUCCUCUCGGGUUAGACAGCCUGCGUCCCCGCUCCAAGGAGACCCCGGGGGAUGGCGGGACCGGCCGGCGAGGCGCAGAGGGCGCAGAGGGCGCAGAGGGCCCGAGGCCCCGGAGGCGGCCCCCUCCCGGCGCCGCGGCGUGGCCGUGCCCCGCACACAGCGUCGCUGCACCGCCACGACGGCCCGGAACCCUUAAGGCCCACCCAGAAGAUGCAGGUGUGGCCAGGAGUCAGCAAUACUAACCUCACGACUGAUCUUCCCGUGACAGAUUUACAAUAAAUCGAAGCACCUCCAUGGAGCAGGACAAAAAAGCAGCCCUCAAGAUGGAGCCCACGCAGGGGGAAUCUCAGAGAAAGCCCACCCAUCCCUGAUCAGUUCUGAUGCUAUCUCUGGGUUUGUGAUGGAAGGACUGAGAUUUCUCUGACCUUGGACCCUUGAAGAGUCUAUAGGAAGGGAAGCAGGUCUUGGCCGCAAAGCCCUUGACAUGCAUCCGGGCUCCACCAAGAAACCACCGUUUCCCAAUGACAUUGGGGGAAGUCCCCUGCAUCUUCAGUUUCCUCAUCUGCCCAAGGGAGGAGGAUUGUAAAGAAGACUCUUAACAUCUCCAACCCGGGGCUCUAAGUGUGAGGGAAGGCAGCACACGGAGAUUCUUGGACUUCAAAGGACCCUGGGGGCACUUAGUUUCACCUUGAGAAAGGUGCACAUCUCUUUCUGAAAUGCGGUCCUUUGCUAAGCAGUUUGGUAGUAGAAUUAGGCACGCAGACCCUGGAAACAGGCUAUCCAGGCUCAAAUCUGACCUAGACCUGCAGUAUACUACCCAUGUGACCUUGGGCUACUUUUACUCAGUCUCUCUGUGCCUCAAUUUCCUCAUCUCUGAAAUGGAGAUUAAUAGCAACACCUAUCUCACAGGGCACUGGAGGGUUUAACUGAGCUCCUGCAUGUAAAGCACUUAGAAGCAUGCCUGGCACAGGGUAGCUGUUCCUAUGAGUUGCCCAAACCUCUGGAUGCAACCUCAGCCCUUGCCAGUCUUCUUGGUUCUCCUCCACUGACUGCCAUCAUUUCUGUCCCAGCACCAGUGCCAGGAUCUCUGCCUCCUCUAGGUCCCAGCUCCUGCAGGAAUGGGAUGGAGGAGGGCAGGACGCCUGUGAAUUGCCUGCUUGAUGAGUACUUUGUCGGAGGAAUCUCUUUGUGCCAGUGCUUUACUUAUUUUCUGCUAGGGAAGGAAGUGGAGUCAGUGUCUCUUCCUUUCUCCUCAAUCCUACCCAGAGAUGAGCCAGCUGCACGAAAACCUGUGCCCUUGGCUUUAAGGAGGAAGAGAGGGAGGAAGAUCUAGUUGAUCCAUCCCCACCAGGAAGGAUCCUGUUCAGAGGCAGGUAGUUUACUGCACAGAAGUAUUAAUGUUACUCUCUCUCUCUCUCUCCACACACACACACACACACACACACGCACACGCACACACUCACACUCACACCAGCUCCCUGAGGGCAGGAACUCUUCUGUUGUGUAUUCUGCUGUAUCCCAGCGCCUUAAAAUAUUGUCUGGCACAGAACAAGCACCUCAAUAAAUAAUCAAUAGAAGGACCA
rnacentral:lncRNA from 12 species